UCCUACGGGAGGCAGCAGUGGGGAAUUUUGGACAAUGGGCGAAAGCCUGAUCCAGCAAUGCCGCGUGUGUGAAGAAGGCCUUCGGGUUGUAAAGCACUUUUGUCCGGAAAGAAAACUUCUGCCCUAAUACGGCGGGAGGAUGACGGUACCGGAAGAAUAAGCACCGGCUAACUACGUGCCAGCAGCCGCGGUAAUACGUAGGGUGCGAGCGUUAAUCGGAAUUACUGGGCGUAAAGCGUGCGCAGGCGGUUCGUUAAGACAGAUGUGAAAUCCCCGGGCUUAACCUGGGAACUGCAUUUGUGACUGGCGAGCUAGAGUAUGGCAGAGGGGGGUAGAAUUCCACGUGUAGCAGUGAAAUGCGUAGAGAUGUGGAGGAAUACCGAUGGCGAAGGCAGCCCCCUGGGCCAAUACUGACGCUCAUGCACGAAAGCGUGGGGAGCAAACAGGAUUAGAUACCCUGGUAGUCCACGCCCUAAACGAUGUCAACUAGCUGUUGGGGAUUCAUUUCCUUAGUAACGUAGCUAACGCGUGAAGUUGACCGCCUGGGGAGUACGGUCGCAAGAUUAAAACUCAAAUGAAUUGACGGGGA
rnacentral:rRNA from 1 species